rnacentral:tRNA from 1 species
GGUGUAAUACUUUAUAUAGAAGACCUAAUUUGCAUUUAGGCAGAAACCGGCAGGUUUUACACCA